rnacentral:rRNA from 1 species
GUUGCAAAGCACUUUGAAGAGAGAGUUAAAGAAGGUGCGACGGUUAGUGGAAGCGGAUAGAGUCGGCAGUAUCAUUCAAUUAUUCAGUUACAUUAUUUUUAUGUUGUGACCUCUGAGCUCCAGAUUGGGACAGAGGGAAUCAGCAUAAUUUUUUGUGGUGCAUUUACUUGAUUGGUGCUUGGGGAUGUUUGAGGCAGAUUUGUUUCCGUCGUUUUGAGGCCAGCUUGCUGGUACCCAAACGGUGUUAGCAUUUUUUGUCUUGGGCAUUUGAGUAUGGCUCACGUGUAUUUAUUGGACAGAUCUGAGUGUAAGUUACGGUCGCAUGCGACACGUGCUUUUCAAUUAGUUCGGUCCAGUUAAUGCUCUCGUACUCGUUCCCCAUGUAAAAGCCGGUCAUCUAUCCGACCCGUCUUGAAACACGGACCAAGGAGUUUAUCGUGUGCGCAAGUUUUUGGGUGUUAAAAACUUAAAAGCGAAAUGAAAGUAAAUGACUCUUUAGAGUCUGAUGUGCGAUCUUGUAAAAAAGUGUAGCAUGGCCCCAUUCUAACUGUUUACAGUAGGGUGGCGGAAGAGCGUACGCGGUGAGACCCGAAAGAUGGUGAACUAUUCCUGAGCAGGACGAAGCCAGAGGAAACUCUGGUGGAAGUCCGAAGCGGUUCUGACGUGCAAAUCGAUCGUCUGACUUGGGUAUAGGCGCGAAAGAUUAAUCGAACCAUC